UUUCUUUCCCACCGGCAGUGUAUGAGAGUUCCUUUUUCUCACAUCCUUACCAGCAUUUUCUUUUUUUUUUUCUUAAAAGAAGAAGAAAAAGAAGAAGAAGAAAAGAAAUCCUAGCCUAUGCUAUAUUUGUUGGGUCCUGUAAAAUGUAUUCCCCAUGGGUGAGGCCAGGGAUGGCUCAGUAUGAUCUCAGAACUCGUCAGCCUAAGAACGCAGCCAAUGGCAGAAAGCCCGAAAGGGACUCAGCAGUCCAAAACCGAAAAAAAAGACUCAGUGAUCUGAAAGGCAGCGAGAAGAAACCGCUGAAGGCUUAAAGCCGAAACACACUACUCUGACAAUGAACACUUUGUGCAAGCUCUCUUGACUUCUCCAAUUAUGCUCUUCCCUGAAGAAAAAAAGUUAGGGGUUGGAGAGAUGGCUCAGCAGUUAAGAGCACUGGCUGCUCUUCCAAAGGACCCAGGACCUUCUCAGCAUCCACAAGGCAGCUCACAGCUGUCUGUAACAUCAGCUCCAGGAUCCAACAUCCUCACAUACAUGCAAGCAAAACACCAAUGCACAU
rnacentral:lncRNA from 1 species